UUAAGUCCCGCAACGAGCGUAACCCUCGUCCUUAGUUGCCAUCAUUUAGUUGGGCACUCUAAGGAAACCGCCGGUGAUAAGCCGGAGGAAGGUGGGGAUGACGUCAAGUCCUCAUGGCCCUUACACGCUGGGCUACACACGUGCUACAAUGGCGGUGACAGUGGGCAGCUAGAUCGCGAGAUCAUGCUAAUCUCUAAAAGCCGUCUCAGUUCGGAUUGUUCUCUGCAACUCGAGAGCAUGAAGGCGGAAUCGCUAGUAAUCGCGGAUCAGCAUGCCGCGGUGAAUACGUUCCCAGGCCUUGUACACACCGCCCGUCACACCAUGGGAGUUGGAUUCACCCGAAGGUAGUGCGCUAACCGCAAGGAGGCAGCUAACCACGGUGGGUUCAGCGACUGGGGUGAAGUCGUAACAAGGUAGCCGUAGGGGAACCUGCGGCUGGAUCACCUCCUUU
rnacentral:rRNA from 1 species